rnacentral:rRNA from 1 species
UGGGGAAUAUUGGACAAUGGGGGAAACCCUGAUCCAGCAAUGCCGCGUGAGUGAUGAAGGCCUUCGGGUUGUAAAGCUCUUUCGCCCACGACGAUGGUGACGGUAGUGGGAGAAGAAGCCCCGGCUAACUUCGUGCCAGCAGCCGCGGUAAUACGAAGGGGGCUAGCGUUGUUCGGAGUUACUGGGCGUAAAGGGCGCGUAGGCGGCUGUCCAAGUUGGGUGUGAAAGCCCGGGGCUCAACCCCGGAUGUGCACUCAAGACUGGCUGGCUAGAGGAUGGGAGAGGAUGGUGGAAUUCCCAGUGUAGAGGUGAAAUUCGUAGAUAUUGGGAAGAACACCGGUGGCGAAGGCGGCCAUCUGGACCAUUUCUGACGCUGAGGCGCGAAAGCGUGGGGAGCAAACAGGAUUAGAUACCCGCGUAGUCC